ACAAUGAGCAACAAAUUAAAUAUUCUUCUGACAGGCUCCCUUUUUGUCGUUGAAUUGCAGUUGUCACUCAUUUAAUUUUAUAAACUCAAUUUUGAAAAUAAUCUUAAAGCAGCAUCCCCUGAAAGAUGACUUUGGAUAAUGUUGAAUUACAUUUUCAUUAACUUGGCAUCAUCCUGGAUUGAAAUACAGGUUACUAUUAAUCUUUUAACUUCUUGAAAUAAUUAGAAGCAGUCUUGCCCCCUGUUAUUUGAAAGCACACGUUCAGCAUGAGACUAAAGGCCAUACUCUUUGUUUAAUGUUAACAUGUCAUUUUACUGUUACUUUAGUUCAAUUGUUUUGAGUAUUUUCCUGCUCUCACCCAUGUCAGUAUGUUGUUAAAAUAAUGUAUAGUGAAAGACUUGCAGGUGUUUCAAAGGAUGUCUUACUAUUUGAAGGAUGCCUUGUAAAAAUCUGCCCAGCCGUUUAAAGGCUUUCAUAGAAGUAAAUUGCCAUUGAGUUUUUACAAGAAAGCGAACUGGGGUUGGGCAGGAGAUACUGUGACAGGAAAGACAUUGAUAUAUACCAUUUUUCAUUCCGGUUUCCUUUAUUUGAAGUCAUUUUCCCCAAAAAAUUGAUGAAGAGAGAAUGGUUUAGUGACUAAGCCAAAAUAUAGAGGACUAGAAUAACACACAUGUCAAAAUCUGUACAGUUGAACCACUCUUUUGCCUUUAUGAUGGGGAAUUGAAAACUAAUAGCUUUCUUUUUCAAAAAAAGUUAUUCAAUAUUUUCCAUUAUGUCAGUUUUA
rnacentral:lncRNA from 1 species